rnacentral:rRNA from 1 species
CACGUAGGGGCCAAGCGUUGUCCGGAUUUAUUGGGCGUAAAGAGCUCGUAGGCGGUUCGACAAGUCGGGUGUGAAAACUCCGGGCUCAACCCGGAGACGCCACCCGAUACUGUCGUGACUGGAGUCCGGUAGGGGAGUGGGGAAUUCCUGGUGUAGCGGUGAAAUGCGUAGAUAUCAGGAGGAACACCGGUGGUGUAGACGGCUUACUGGACCACGACUGACACUGAGGCACGAAAGCGUGGGUAGCAAACAGG